rnacentral:misc_RNA from 1 species
UCCGGUUUGGCACCGGCAGUCUCCGAUGAGUCCCCGGCAUUACCCGCUGGCAACAUCGGACAGGUGUUGCGCUCGUUGCGCCACUUAAGGCAACACCUCACGGCACGAGCUGACGACAGCCAUGCACCACCUGUGCAGGCUCCGAAGAGCACCCGUUUUCACGGGUUUCACCCUGCAUGUCAAGCCCAGGUAAGGUUCUUCGCGUCGCAUCGAAUUAAGCCGCAUGCUCCGCCGCUUGUGCGGACCCCCGCCAAUUCCUUUGGGUUUCAAUCUUGCGAUCGUACUUCCCAGGUGGGAUACUUAAUGCUUUCGCUCAGACACCAACAGUGUAUCGCUGAUGUCGAGUAUCCAUCGUUUAGGGCGUGGACUAC